GCCAACUUCAGAUCCAGUCUCUGGAACUGAUGGCGACCAGACCACUGAGCUGCUCACUGCCUUUCUAGGCUGCCGGGCCAGCCAGUGUAGGUGGUGGUUGGGAGGUUGUUUGUUUGCUCAAACCCGCAGCUUCUGGUCUUUCUGUCUCUCUGGGUCCUGGCGUCCUCGCCGAACAACCUCCUUUCACUGCUCGUGUUAGGGGGUCACCACAGCGGAUCACCAUCCGUGGGCAGCAGCCAACAGUUGGAAGGAUGAACAAAAGUAUGAAAGAAAAAGGGGUUUCAGCAGUUGCUGGGAGGGCUGGUGAUUUCGCAAACUCUGUGCAAGACGCUGGUCUCCGUUCAGCAGACUCAACACCUCUCACCUUAAGCUGUGCCAAACUGCCAGCAGAUAAACUCUGAACAUAGUGGCUUUUCCUCGAGUAUCAGACGCUGCUGCUGCUUUCGAAAUAAGAGCACCGGGUGAUAUAUCCCUCGCUGACAACAUAAUUAAGAGGUGGUUCUUCACUUGCACCAGUUAUAUUUGUAACUUGACAUGUGUUCAUAUCACUCUGACACGAACCUACCUCCUUUGCAAAAAACAUUUUUCCUCUGAUUAUUUUAAACAUGCCUGAAAACCUGGCUUCAAAUCACAAUAGCACCAAAUGUUAAUGACUAAAGAAGGAAGGACAGCAGAGUUCUUUCCUUUUUCUCACACCAAAAUGUGUGGUUACUUUCAGCGCUAGUUUCUGACAGGAAAGAGAAAACUGGAGCAACACCUGUGCAACUUUUAGACCUUCACUCUCCAUGUCCACGACAAUCGGAUGAUCCAGUAUUUUCAGUUUAUGUAUACAGUUUCUUUAAGUGGCUUCAGAUUUAAUGGAAUAUGAGUGUUUGCCAAAUGACGUCAAUGCACAGACCUUUUCCCUCCGACUCGGCUGCAGAGCCAAACAGCUCCACUGAGGAUGAGACCUAAACACCUGACACUCGCACUGGUGCGCACAGGUGUAGCGUUCUCAUGCCAGGUCACCUCGCUCACUCACACAUGCCCCAAACCGCAACCUCCCCCUAAAAUUAAUAAUUUACUGAAACCCAACAAGCCCUCUUGACUCCAUCUCGAGUAGUGCCCCGUGUUCCGUAGCUAAACUGCUUAAAGCAACGAGCAGGAAAAGACUGAGCCCUGAAGCUAAUGACGCUCUGAAUGUGAUACAGAGGUGUUAACAAAUACUUGUAAGCUAAUAGUUACAGGUUGGAGAGACGAUGAUCAGGGGACUCAGAGUGGCUCUGUCCAACUUUCCUGAGGAGAAUUAAUCCAUAGUGCAAAUGUAUUUAACAGUUGCAUUUGAUGUCUGUACUCUGUUGUGUACUUAAAUCAGAACUCACACAAUGUAUACACAAUACACGCUGGAGACAUUAAAUCAGUCCUCAGCUUCUCAACCUAUUAAUCAUGUUUCCUUGUAGUGCUUUUCAAAGGCUAAAAAUAUCUUAUGCAACUCUUAUUUGUUUUCCAACCCACAGUGCAGACUUCCACUAAGAAGUGAAACAUGUAAAUGUUGCGUAUUGUUCAGCCUUAACUGUCUUAUCCUGUCCACAUAUGAUCCGAUUUCUCAUUCACCAUCUGAGCUGAUGAGGAAGU